rnacentral:misc_RNA from 1 species
UGGGUUUGACAUGCACAGGACGCACCUAGAGAUAGGUGUUCCCUUGUGGCCUGUGUGCAGGUGGUGCAUGGCUGUCGUCAGCUCGUGUCGUGAGAUGUUGGGUUAAGUCCCGCAACGAGCGCAACCCUCGUUCCAUGUUGCCAGCACGUAAUGGUGGGGACUCAUGGGAGACUGCCGGGGUCAACUCGGAGGAAGGUGGGGAUGACGUUCCUUACAGCGUAC